CCUACGGGGCGCAGCAGUAGGGAAUCUUCGGCAAUGGGCGAAAGCCUGACCGAGCAACGCCGCGUGAAUGGAGAAGGCCUUCGGGUUGUAAAAUUCUGUUAUAAGGGAAGAAAGGUGAUAGGAGGAAAUGACUAUCAAUUGACGGUACCUUAUGAGAAAGCCACGGCUAACUACGUGCCAGCAGCCGCGGUAAUACGUAGGUGGCAAGCGUUAUCCGGAAUUACUGGGUGUAAAGGGGGCGCAGACGGCGAUGCAAGCCAGGAGUGAAAGCCCGGGGCCCAACCCCGGGACUGCUCUUGGAACUG
rnacentral:rRNA from 1 species